rnacentral:lncRNA from 1 species
AUCUUCAUAUUGUACAUUUUCUACUGAUGACCUUAUCUCAGAUUAUUUGCAGUAUUCAUCAUUUACAGGAUUGGAACUACAUUUGACCUGAUUCCUGGCUCAACUGGAUAUGUAGGCGCCACGAUGGGUCGGUCAUAUACCUAUUGUGAUUUUCUUUUCACCUUGUAAUAAAAACUGGGACAAAUUUUUUGAGAAUAUCUCAAAAAUUCAGAAUAAAGGUGCUAUCUCCAGC